rnacentral:rRNA from 1 species
GUGGGGAAUAUUGGACAAUGGGCGCAAGCCUGAUCCAGCCAUGCCGCGUGAAUGAUGAAGGCCUUAGGGUUGUAAAGUUCUUUCGCCAGGGACGAUAAUGACGGUACCUGGAUAAGAAGCCCCGGCUAACUUCGUGCCAGCAGCCGCGGUAAUACGAAGGGGGCUAGCGUUGCUCGGAAUUACUGGGCGUAAAGGGCGCGUAGGCGGACAGCUUAGUCAGAGGUGAAAGCCCAGGGCUCAACCUUGGAAUUGCCUUUGAUACUGGCUGUCUUGAGUUUGGGAGAGGUGAGUGGAACUCCGAGUGUAGAGGUGAAAUUCGUAGAUAUUCGGAAGAACACCAGUGGCGAAGGCGACUCACUGGCCCAAUACUGACGCUGAGGCGCGAAAGCGUGGGGAGCAAACAGGAUUAGAAACCCGAGUAGUCC